rnacentral:rRNA from 1 species
UACAGAGGUCCCGAGCGUUGUUCGGAUUUAUUGGGCGUAAAGGGUGCGUAGGUGGCAAAGUAAGUUGGAUGUGAAAUCCUGGGGCUCAACCUCAGAAUUGCAUUCAAUACUGCUUAGCUAGAGAGCUGUAGAGGAGACUGGAAUUUACGGUGUAGCAGUGAAAUGCGUAGAUAUCGUAAGGAACGCCAGUGGCGAAAGCGAGUCUCUGGGCAGCAUCUGACGCUGAGGCGCGAAAGCCAGGGGAGCAAACGGG